AGUGAACGCUGGCGGCAGGCCUAACACAUGCAAGUCGAACGGCAGCACAAGAGAGCUUGCUCUCUGGGUGGCGAGUGGCGGACGGGUGAGGAAUGCAUCGGAAUCUGCCCAUUUGUGGGGGAUAACCUCGGGAAACCGGGACUAAUACCGCAUACGACCUACGGGUGAAAGCAGGGGAUCUUCGGACCUUGCGCAGAUGGAUGAGCCGAUGCCGGAUUAGCUAGUUGGAGGGGUAAAGGCCCACCAAGGCGACGAUCCGUAGCUGGUCUGAGAGGAUGAUCAGCCACACUGGGACUGAGACACGGCCCAGACACCUACGGGAGGCAGCAGUGGGGAAUAUUGGACAAUGGGCGCAAGCCUGAUCCAGCCAUGCCGCGUGUGUGAAGAAGGCCUUCGGGUUGUAAAGCACUUUUGUUGGGAAAGAAAAGCAGCCGGUUAAUACCCGGUUGUCAUGACGGUACCCAAAGAAUAAGCACCGGCUAACUUCGU
rnacentral:rRNA from 1 species